rnacentral:rRNA from 1 species
GACGAACGCUGGCGGCGUGCUUAACACAUGCCAGUCGAACGGAAAGGCCCUGCUUUUGUGGGGUGCUCGAGUGGCGAACGGGUGCGUAACACGUGAGUAACCUGCCCUAGACUUUGGGAUAACUUCAGGAAACUGGGGCUAAUACCGGAUAGGAGCUCCUGCUGCAUGGUGGGCGUUGGAAAGUUUCGGCGGUUGGGGAUGGACUCGCGGCUUAUCAGCUUGUUGGUGGGGUAGUGGAUUACCAAGGCUUUGACGGGUAGGCGGCCUGAGAGGGGGACCGGCCACAAUGGGACUGAGAGACGGCCCAGACUCCUACGGGGGGCAGCAGUGGGGAAUAUUGCACAAUGGGCGGGAGCCUGAUGCAGCAACGCCGCGUGCGGGAUGACGGCCUUCGGGUUGUAAACCGCUUUCGCCUGUGACGAAGCGUGAGUGACGGUAAUGGGUAAAGAAGCACCGGCUAACUACGUG